rnacentral:rRNA from 1 species
GACGAACGCUGGCGGCGUGCUUAACACAUGCAAGUCGAACGAAGUGGCGAACGGGUGAGUAAUACGUGGGUAACCUGCCCUCCUUUUUGGGAUAAGCCUUGGAAACGGGGUCUAAUACCGAAUAAAGGGGGAUGGGCUCGCGGCCUAUCAGCUUGUUGGUGGGGGGAUGGCCUACCAAGGCGGUGACGGGUAGCCGGCCGGAGAGGGGGACCGGCCACAUGGGGACGGAGAGACGGCCCAGGAUCCUACGGGAGGGAGCAGGGGGGGAGAGUGCACAAUGGACGAAAGCCUGAUGCAGCGACGCCGCGGGGGGGAUGAAGGCUUUCGGGUUGUAAACCUAUUUCGCGAGCGAACGGGGAGGUGGAGAAGAAGCGCCGGCUAACUACGUGCCAGCAGCCGCGGUAAUAC